rnacentral:tRNA from 1 species
GGGGCAGUAGCUCAGUGGUUCAGAGUGGAAGAUUGCAACUCUACGCCUAGUCCUGGCUAGAAGCAACCAUCUUUAGGUCCCGUGUUCGACUCACGGCUGUCCCU